UUGACGAAGUUAUCUGGAACCAAAAAGAGAACACGAACUACCGUGUGUGGCGGCUACUACUACAGAGGAGGAAGAGUGGUGGACGAGAACAUGGUGAUCCUUAGGAAACGGAUCCACGAGAGGAAGAUGGUCGAGCGAAACUAUGAACCUCCUUCCCAUUGGAUGCAGUGGGAGAAACGUGUCUACUGCAACUACGACGCUAACAUCUGUGCCGCUCUCUCACUUCUUCAAAAUUUUCUAAUGAAUUCUCGUCCCAGUGUUGCGUUUGGAACGAUGCUUCUCCUCUUCGUUAGCGUCCCCGUCUCCACUACCUUCUUUGCGUUUCGGAUGCUUGACAUCGUUCUUUGGCUUAUGGAUGCCACUCACGUAGGAUGAUCGUGUAUAUGUUUUGCCUUGAUGUGUUACAGUCUCUUAUAAUCAAUAGUUUCUUUUCAAGAAAGUGUUCUGUUUAUAAAAUACUAGACAAUUCAGUUUUUAUCAUUACAUCAUAUUGUCUCCCACGACUUAGAAGUAGAGAUGUAUUGUUGGUGGAACCAAGACAGAAAAUAUACACUUGAAUCCCAUGUCUGUACAAUAAUAACUCUCAUGGAUAAUCCGUCUAAAAGAAAAUGUACAAUGUGAAAAAAUGCCUCACAAGCUAAUGUACAGUUUGCCCGAAAUGCUAAAUACAUGUCUUAAUCGGAGAUGUCAUCCUUAUUAACAGGCGCUUCUGGUUGGACACCACCUUAGCGCAACGUCUACAUGCAUAUUGAACGCCAGGAACAGAAGAUCAGAGAGAAGUUUCACUUAUGCAGAAUCAUGGUGGCUAAGAAAUUCAGUUAUGCAAGGAUAGACUUGCUCCACUGCCUGUAGUAAGAUUCAGAGAAACUGACUGAGAUAGAAAACAAGGACGCACAUAUAGUAGAUCUAAAAAUCCAACAUACCAGUCGUCCUCCAACCAAAUCGUAGUGCGCAUAAUGUGGUCCGUCUGGUUCUCCAAGUACCUUAUAAGUGACCAGGUUCUCAGGGAACAGCUUAGCAGUGUCUGCCAUAUUCACAAGUAAAUGGAAUGGUAAGAAAACAUAAUGCAUGUUUGUGCAUACUAAUCAACUAUGUAUUAGGUAGCUUAACAUUUAAUUUGGCAUGUGUGAGAAGUUUAGUGAAAGCUGAACAAGUAUACGUGCUACAGCCUCUCGAAACUCAAGCAAUUUAGUAACAGCAUUGUAGAAUUUUAAAAGAAGUGCAUAACUGGGCAGAAGCACACCAUGUUUCAUGUAAGUAUUCAUAAUAAACAUCAAUUCAUUAUACCUUCUACAGCUGCAGGAGGACAGAUCAAGUCCCGAUCACCCGCAAGAGCUAAGACAGGGACACUGGUCCUGGAAAGAUGAUCCUUGUAGUAAAAUUUACCACUACGGUCGCGUAAGCCUCCCGCUCGAAAGGCUGUUGUCAGCUGAAUAAGAAGUUUUGCUGGUAUGGUACCUAAAGGUUACAAAAUAGAGAAACCAUUUAAUACCACCAUAAGAGGAGCAAGAAAUAGAGGAAACAACUAGCACUUGCAUAAUCAUCUCAUGGCAAUGCAUAGGCAUCUAAAAGGUAUCUCUUCGACAUUUACUUUAGCAUUAAAAAUCCACAUACUUAAAAUGGGAUCAUAUAUCUACACUUACAGAAGUUAUUCAAGACAAGCUUCUCUAACUGUUCGGGGUGCAUCAUAUCUGUUGCUGAUAUCAAAUCGUUAAGCCAAGAUAAUACGUAUGGAGGUCGCGACGAAAGAGGAUAAGCUGCUGCCAACAGAGCUCCCAAAGGAACAACUGGAACACUCAGAGCUUGUGCAGGAUCAGCCUGUAGAGAAAUAUCUAAUAAGUUUAGAAUUGGUGGUGCAUCAACUCUUACAGAAGAACCCAACGCAGAGAGAUAAAGGUAAAAUUCACGUACAAGAGGUAUGAGCAAUUUGAGGGCAGAAUCUGAAGUUGUGUAAUCUAGCGAUGAAGCCAAAGUUGCCGCAGCUGCCAGACAAGGUUCUCGUCCCUCAAAAGCUAACGAAAUGGAAAAGAAAGAAUGAGUAACGGCCUAAAUCUAUGAGCUUCUGUUUUCAGGAAAAUGAAUAUUAACUUACCACAACGUGACAGCAUUGCAUAGAGUAAGAUACCUCCCAUUGAAUGCCCAAUUGCUAAUAGCUUACCAUCCUUUGGCUUGCAUUGCGCUCUUACAUACUCAAUCUAUGUCAAACCAAAACCAGAACACACAGUUCAGUGACAAAUCCGGACAUGGUUAUUUGAAACAUUUAGCAAGAUCAAUGUCCCCUCACCGCAGCAGGGACAUCCUCUUCCAAGUAGUUAUCAAAAUCCCAGUCAUACUUAACAAUCAAAUCAAGCUGCUUCUGAAAAUCCUCAAUGGUCGAAGUGAGCCGCUCUUGCAAAUCAAUCAGCUGAGGCGAGACAGACCUCUGACCAUCGUCAAGAAGAUUCACAAGACGCUGAGUCAACUCCCUGAUUUGGUUACCAAGCCCUGAGUUUUGCCUUGACUCGAUCAAACUCAAAAGCUUUGAUCUUAUCUCAAGAAAGCGCUCGUACAGCCGAGAAUCUUCUAAAAGCAUAGCAAUUCUAUCAAACAACUUAGCAGACAUGAACACUGACUGACCUUCGCUGAGAAAACCAGAAAGUCUCUCCGACAAACGCAUAAACGUUGCAGUUAACCUCGCCACGAUCUUUGACUCGUCCCAAGCAGAAGCAGAGGCUUCACCAACAACGGAAACAUCCGGUGCACUGUCUGUAACAUCAGUAGCUUUAGCUUCUUUGGCUGCAGCUUUGGCAGUAGACUCUAUCUGACGAGACAACUCGUGAGCAGAAUCUUCAACAUCUUUGAGAUCAGAUACUCUUGUGCUCAGCCCGGCUCCACGAACCUCGAGAAUCCACGUCUCGUAUCCCUCUCCAGACAUGUGUCUCGCAAAAGAGCACUACAAUUACAUUAAACCGUGAAGCAAAAACUCUAAUGAGCUCGGGUGGAGAGGAGAGGAUGUAAUAAAAAUCACGUCUUUAAGCGUAAAUGGAUAACCUUUAUGAAACAGAUUCAGAUUACAAAAAACGAAUGUGAAUUGAAGGCAAACAAACAUACACCGGGAGAUAGAUCGUAUCCGAUGGCAUUGGUUCCUACUCCAGAUAACAGCAAGAGCGGAUGAUUCCUCGUUGGAGCCUGAGAAGAAGAGAGUUCUUAGGUCACAAAGAUAUAAACUCAAUGUUCUAAAAAUUGGUAUAUGCGGCUGCUCGGCAAUUGGUUUUAGGUUGGAAGCGCAUUUAUAAUUCAAAAAUCGAUCUAGCUACCACCUAAUGAAUAAUCUCUAUAAGGCCACUAACCACCACCAAGCAAUUUUUUGAACAUUGUAUAAACUAAGUUUUUCAAACCGAAUUAAAAAAAAAAACCGAUCUAGACACCGCCUAAUGAAUAAUCUCUAUAAGGCGCCUAACCAAUUCUUGAACAUUGUAAAAACUUGUAGACCGAGGCGGUUAGAAACCUGAGGGGAAGGGAAGUAGCGCCAGAGAGCGAGGCGCCAAUCGCUGUUUGGAACGGUGACGUAGUGAAGCUCGUCGGCGGUGCAAAGAGGCGGUUUCGUUGGGAGCUUGACCGAGGAAGAGAAUGCUUUCGGUCGGAGAAGUUUCGACGUGCUAUGACGUAACGAAGGAGUUACGGUGGCGAUUGGGCGGAGGAGGUAGACGGUGGAGGAAGCCGCCCGACGUAGAGCAGAGCGGAUCUCGAAGGGGAAUUGGGGAGGGAUGGUCGCCAUCAAAUCAGAUUUGAAAAAAGUGGUGGUGGUUCGGCUUGUUUUGGAACGUUUUAAGGAUUCCAUUCUCUCACCUCCGGUACACGUGGAGAGACGACCGGUGAAAUGAUUGAUGAAGAUGUUGACUUUCGUGGCUUAAACCGUAAACUAUUGGGCCGUUAAUGGGCCUUGAGCUUUUAAUAUUCUAAUUUAGCUGGGCCCAAAAGUCAAGCAGAGACCAGGUCGAAGACAACAACUGGGAAAAUGAGAACAACAAAACUGUAGGGUUCCUCCUUCGUUUCGUCGAGUCUGCAUCUUCUCUCUCAAUCAGGUAUCAAUCAACAGAGUCCCCUUUCUUUUUUUUAAUUCAAUGGAUCUCCUUUCGAUUAUAGCUCCACGAACCAAUCUGUUUUUUUUUUUUUUUUUUUACAUUAAAUCGCAUCUCUGUCUAUAAAUCAUAAACUUUAGGGUUUAAUUUUAAAUAUUUUUGAUUUAGAGUUUAUGAUUUAUCCAAGGGUUCAGGGUUUAUCCAAGGGUUUAGGGUUUAGUUAUUAGGGUUUAGGGUUUAGUGUUAUUAAGAUUUAGUUUUUAAUGUAUGAUUUAGGGUUUAAAUUUUUUCAAUGGUUUACGGUUUAUCCAAGAUUUAAGGUUUAUAAUUUAGGGUUUGGAAUUUAGAAUUUAGGGUAUAGAAUUUAGUAUUUUGCUAACGGUUUAACAAUAUUUAUUCAUUUAUUUUUUGUAACUAUUUUUAUGUAUUUUUAUUGUUUUAUUUAAAAAAAUAAUCUUAUUUGGAAAUUCAAUUUUGUUUCCUUUUUAAAAGAUAUCAAAUAUCAAAUAUUCAAACACUAUUUGUUGGUGAAUCUAGAGGUAACCCAAGAAUUUCUCAUAAAUUACUAUCUCCGUAGUCUUUAAAAUUAGUAUCUCAACUAAACAACAAUAAUAUUUUGGAUAGCUUACUAUAAACGAAAAAGUGCAAUUUGAGCACAGAUCACAUUAUGGUCCAAUUUACAUGUUAUUUGUUUGGUUUUAUAAAAGGUAAUUUUAGUGACGAAUAUGUACGGAUUAGUUAUUAUGAUAAUUAUGAUAAUAUAUAUAAUGAAUAGUUAUAUAUAAUAUGUACUAUAAUUAGCAAAAAAACUUAUAUUAAUUUUUUUAAAAAAAUUAUUUAGAUAAUUGAAUAUAAAUUAAUAAAAUAGAAAUUUUGGCUAAAAAUGAAUAAGAUAAGUUUUAUUUUCCAAAAAUAAUAUUUUCAAUUACAAAAGUUAAAACUAAAAAAAUAUAAUGAUGCAUAAUUAAAUACUAAUCAAACAAAAAUGUAUAAUGACUAUAUUGUAUAAACAGAUUUUCCAAAAUGUUUAUAAUACAUGUGUGGUUCCAAAAAAGAAAUGAAAACAAUAACAAGCAUAUAUGUAUAUUUUGAUUAGAACUCCGCUUUAUAUAUUGACAAUUUAAAAUUUAGAGAAUAUAAACAAUAACUUAUCAUAUUAAUCACUAAAUUAAUAACAUGUAUUAAUAAGUAUUCCCAAAAUGAUUUAAAAUCAUGGCUGCUACAUUAUAGUAUGAAAUAAACCCAUGAUUAAUUAACCAUAGUGGCACCGUCUUUGUACUUUUUAGUGUAAAAAAAUACAUGAACGACGUUGAGGUCAAUGGACAUUUAAUUAUUUGUUUGAUACAAUUAUGAAGGGAGUGCUUUGCAGUUGACAUUCGAUUAUAUAUUUUCCAGAUUAACUCACAACCAUCUUUUCUUCGUUGUUGAAGUGUUUACUGUACAUAACUAAUCUUAAAUGUCCCUGUCGACAAGACGUGUAGCUGAAAUCGAUAAGAAAUGAGCGUGAAACUGGGAGGAACGUGGUCCCAUGAAUGCUACGAGAAGGCAACGCGCUAAUCAUUUCUCCUUUUUAUUUUUUAAAGCUAAAGUAAACCGUAGCCAUUAUUAAUUUCAAAAUAAUUCUCUUUAUAAAUAAUGCAUCCAUAUCCAUCACCCUGGCUCCUAAAGCAACAAAGAAAAAAAUGGAAGGCAUACUUAUCUCAUCGUCGCCACUCAGGUUCCAACCAUUGAUGAAGUUAUCUGGAACCAAGAAGAGGAUACGAACCACCGUGUGUGGCGGCUACUACUACAGAGGAGGAAGAGUGGUGGACGAGAACAUGGUGAUCCUUAGGAAACGGAUCCACGAGAGGAAGAUGGUCGAGCGAAACUAUGAACCUCCUUCCCAUUGGAUGCAGUGGGAGAAACGUUUCUACUGCAACUACGACGCUAACAUCUGUGCCGCUCUCUCUCUUCUCCAAAAUUUUCUAAUGAACUCUCGUCCCAGCGUUGCGUUUGGAACG
rnacentral:lncRNA from 1 species